AUUGAACGCUGGCGGCAUGCCUUACACAUGCAAGUCGAACGGUAACAGGUCUUCGGAUGCUGACGAGUGGCGAACGGGUGAGUAAUACAUCGGAACGUGCCUAGUAGUGGGGGAUAACUACUCGAAAGAGUGGCUAAUACCGCAUGAGAUCUACGGAUGAAAGCAGGGGAUCGCAAGACCUUGUGCUACUAGAGCGGCCGAUGGCCGAUUAGGUAGUUGGUGGGAUAAAAGCUUACCAAGCCGACGAUCUGUAGCUGGUCUGAGAGAACGAUCAGCAACACUGGGGCUGAGACACGGCCCAGACUCCUAGGGGAGGCAUCAGUAGGGAAUGUUGGACAAUGGGGGAAAGCCUGAUCCAGCAAUGCCGCGUGCAGGAUGAAGGCCUUCGGGUUGUAAACUGCUUUUGUACGGAACGAAAAGCCCUGGGUUAAUACCCUGGGGUCAUGACGGUACCGUAAGAAUAAGCACCGGCUAACUACGUGCCAGCCGCCGCCGUAAAAC
rnacentral:rRNA from 1 species